UAAACGGCGUCGUAUGAAGAUCACAUAUGGUUUCCUUGGCUAAUCACAAAACAAGCAGUGAGGAAAAAAACCAGUGAGAGAGAGAGAGAGAGCUAUCAAUUUGAAAAACAAAGUCCGACAAUGGCGGCCUCUCCGCAAAUUUCGCCUACUGUUUCCCGCUACAAAUUCUUCUCCACUUCCGUUGUUGAAAACCCUAAUUUCUCCCCUUACCAUAUCUAUAGUCGACGCAGAGUUACCAAAUCGCAUCUUCAGGCGCACAACAGUAGCACUAGAUAUGGGCGGACGGAACUCACCUCCUCGAAGAAGCUAUGGAUCAAGCAACGAAGCUCCAGCGGAAUGGAGGUUGAGCAAGCAGAAUUAGAAGAAGAUGAAGAACAAGUGGAGAUCGAUAUAGUCGACGAUGCCAGUCUCCUCUCGCUGAGCAUGAAACCGGACAGGAACAUGGCGUUGCUCGACGAUUAUGAGAUGGAGGAGCUUGGACACUCACCUGAUACGCAUCAUCGCAGUGGAUACGUGGCUGUGCUGGGGAUGCCCAACGUUGGGAAAAGCACGCUUUCGAACCAAAUGAUUGGUCAGAAAAUUUCGAUUGUCACAGAUAAACCUCAAACCACGAGGCAUCGGAUUCUUGGUAUAUGUUCUAGCCCUGAGUAUCAGAUGAUACUUUAUGACACGCCUGGUGUAAUCGAGAAGAAGAUGCACAGGUUAGAUACAAUGAUGAUGAAGAAUGUCAGAGAUGCUGCCAUCAAUGCGGAUUGUGUAGUAAUUCUUGUUGAUGCUUGUAAAACGCCUGCUAAAAUAGAAGAAGUUUUGAAAGAGGGUUUGGGAGACCUCGAAAAGAAGCCACCGAUGCUGCUUGUUAUGAACAAGAAGGAUCUGAUCAAACCUGGUGAGAUAGCCAAGAAACUUGAGUGGUAUGAAAAAUUUACAGAAGUUGAUGAAGUUAUACCUGUAAGCGCAAAGUACGGACAUGGAAUAGAGGAUGUAAAAGAGUGGAUAUUAUCCAAACUUCCCUUCGGGCCACCUUAUUAUCCAAAGGAUAUUGUGAGCGAGCACCCAGAGAGAUUCUUUGUUUCUGAGAUUGUUAGAGAGAAGAUAUUUAUGCAGUACCGAAAUGAAGUUCCUUAUGCAUGUCAGGUGAAUGUGCUGAGCUACAAAACUAGACCAGCUGCAAAAGACUUUAUUCAAGUGGAAGUGGUAGUGGAUAAAAAUUCUCAAAAGAUCAUCCUUAUAGGAAAAGAAGGGAAGGCUUUGAAAACGCUAGCAACGGCUGCUAGGCUCGACAUUGAAGAUUUCCUUCAGAAGAAAGUCUUCCUCGAGGUGGAAGUGAAAGUGAAAGAGAACUGGAGACAAGACGAGGGACUUCUCAAGUACUACGGCUAUGGAGGACAGAUCCGAGCUAUGUAGUAGGAUGGACAUAGUGACAGUGUAGUGGUUAAUGGGCUUCAAAUGGGCCUAGAAGAAGAUGAGAAGUGCAAAUGACAGGGCGGCUCUUAGGUAGGUAGUAGACUGAUAGUUAAACAAUUACAUAUAGAUGUGCUUUUCAUGAAAAGAUGAACCGUAAUUAAUGGCGAGUGAAUUGGUGUGUUUGGUAAGGAUCUGAGUCUGAGUCGGUGUAACUUGUUAGAGAUCCGCUUAUUGCGCCUAUGCUUCUUCUGUUGAAAAAAGGUGUCUGUCUUAA